rnacentral:rRNA from 1 species
UGGUGCCAGCAGCCGCGGUAAUUCCAGCUCCAAUAGCGUAUAUUAAAGUUGUUGCAGUUAAAAAGCUCGUAGUUGAAUUUCGGGGUUAGUAAGUUGGUCAUGCCUCUGGUAUGCACUGGCUUUACUGAUUCCUCCUUCUUGAUGAACUGUAAUGUCAUUAAUUUGGUGUUGCAGGGAAUCAGGACUGUUACUUUGAAAAAAUUAGAGUGUUUAAAGCAGGCAUAAGCUUGAAUACAUUAGCAUGGAAUAAUGAAAUAGGACGUUUGAUCCUAUUUUGUUGGUUUCUAGGAUUGACGUAAUGAUUAAUAGGGAUAGUUGGGGGCAUUAGUAUUCAAUUGUCAGAGGUGAAAUUCUUGGAUUUAUUGAAGACUAACUACUGCGAAAGCAUUUGCCAAGGAUGUUUUCAUUAAUCAAGAACGAAAGUUAGGGGAUCGAAGACGAUCAGAUACCGUCGUAGUCUUAACCAUAAACUAUGCCGACUAGGGA